rnacentral:rRNA from 1 species
GAUCAACGCUGGCGGCGUGCAUAACACAUGCAAGUCGAACGAUGAAGAUUAAACGAUUUCUUCGGCAUGAACUUCAUUGGGUUAGUGGCGGCCGGGUGAGUCACGCGUGAGUUACCUGCCUUGUACAAGGGGAUAGCCGUUGGACACGACGAAUAAUACCCUAUGACAUCAAAUAAUCACAUGAUAAUUUGAUCAAAGAUUUAUCGGUAUAAGAUGGACUCGCGUCUGAUUAGCUCGUUGGUAGAGUAAAAGCCUACCCAGGCAAAGAUCAGUAGCCGGCUUGAGAGGGCGUACGGGGACAGUGAGACUGCGACACGGCCCAGACGCCGACGGGAGGCAGCAGUGGGGAAAUUGGCACAAUGGGGGAAGCCCUGAUGCAGCGUGGCGGAGGGAUUUAGAAGGCUUGCGGGUUGUAUAAAUCUUUGGUAUGGGAAGAAAGUGACGGUACCAUACGAAUAAGGACCGGCUAACUACGUG